rnacentral:lncRNA from 1 species
ACUUGGUUUGCCCCUUUCAGAUUCCUUUGUGAAAGCCUGCAAGCAGGUAUGAAGAUAUUUUCACCUACAGUAUGAAACCACUGGUGUUGCCAUGCUCCUGUUGUGACAGUGUGCAAUAUACCACUGCAGAGGCAGCAAAACAACAGGCUGCCCCAGGCUUUCAGCUGACCAGCAACUGGGCUUUGAGGGUACUGGAGAAACAGAAGCUCCCAAAUGAAGACUCCUGUGGCAACAGAAAGUGAUGCCAUGGUGCAACUGGAGAAGUACAAACACAACACAAAGCAAAGCAAGGACUGCCAUUCCAUACACGGCUUGGAAUGGUAAGCCUGCAUCCCAGUGAGAGUCUAAGCUAGGGUUUGCUUCACAGAAAUCAUACUGGAAACUUAAGAAACUUACUGGCUGUUGACUGGGGUUUUUUGUGUGACUUUUUUUUUUUCUUAUUUUUUUUUUUUUUUCCUGCAAGGCAGUGACCUCAGCUGGCUGAUGCCCCAGGAGGCCAUGUCUCAUCCCUGGAUCGCUGUGCUGGUAUGAAAGGUCAAAACUCUGUGCUGGCCUCCCACUGCUCUACUCUCUGAGGAAACAAAUCCAAAUGGUGCCUGGGAUGAGGGGGCCAACAGCCAAGCCCUGCCAACAGGCCAGGAAACCUUACAGUGUGCUGCUCCCUUCUGCAUGGCCCUGCAUUGAAUUCUUCAGAUGUGAAAACCAAGAAAGAAGAUGCAUGGAGGAAGACAGCAGAACCACUAAGGACACUACCAAAGAUGAAGAAUCAAGAGUCUAUCUGAUGGGUUAAAGCAGUGCCUGGAAAUCAGGACUGCUUGGAUCGAUGCCUAACCACAGCUGACAACAGGCAAGUCUCUUCACUGCUGUGCUUCUGCCUCCCCAUCUGGAAAACGAGGAGAGUAAAGAAAUUCAGUGUCCUAUCCUCAGGGAAGGCAUAUGCAGUUUGGAAAGUGUUUUGAGCUACCCACAGAACUGUUUCUUUGUGUGCAAAGAGUUGUCACGUAUUCUUUAGAGAUUUCUUUUAAUUUGAAGAAAAAUAACUCCCUCUCUUUUAGAAAAAUUGGAAGUUAUAUUCUUAUUAUAUAUUUAUGACUAUACACCAGAUUUUUUUAAAGUCCUGUGCCUUUCCAAUUUUGCUAUUAAUAUGUCAUAAGAAAAUCAGGGAUUGUGUCCAAGUUCCAAUUCAUGAGAAUGGAAUUAACAUCUCCAUUAAAAUGGAAAAGGGGGAGUAGUGGGGGAAAUCUCGGAAGCCCUGGCGGGUGGUAAUAGCUGGACUAAGCUCUUCCAUCCUGGUGACUCAUUCUGGGAAUGGAUAGUGCCUCUGUUGUCUUCAGACAUUUAACACCUCCCUAAC